AAGAGGCCGUAGAUGUAGACUCCCUCUGGAGGCGGGUCGUGAAUGUCCUCCUUGUUGAAGCGCGUCACCAGGUUCUGCAGGAUCACACAGUCCAGCGACCAACCCUUGUGCUGGCGGGUCACUUCCUGUGGGUGUGAGGGAAGCCUUGAGGGUUGAAGAAGCCGGUGAUCCAGAAAGCCUUGGGCCGCCCGUAGGAGUACCAGCGGCGGAACUGUGAGUCUCGCUCCAUCAACUCUGUGAACCAGAACCCGAGCGUGCUGGACUCCCACGAAACCUGACAACAGUAUGGGGGUAAAAAUAAGCGCUCAGGGACCCGGGCGUCGUACAUUGCGUCCAGCAUGUCCUUGAGGGAGGUGCUCAUGAUGAUGGUCCCCUCGAUGGCCAGGUGGAGGUCCUGCAGGGUCUUCCGCACCACCUUCAACACCUGAACCAAUGACGUGUUACUCUCAGGACUCGGAAGUGCUCCUGCCUGAGGAAAAUGUUCAUGGGCAGUAUGGCGCCCAUCCUCUGCAGUGCUUCUCUGAUCUGCAAUGAGAGGGAAGUCCGCAGGAAGCUUGGAGAGCAUAUCGUUGGCCAGCUUGGACACGACCACCUCCCGAGUCUCCCCGCCGCGCUGACCCCCCUCCUUGGGCUGCAUGCUGAGGAUGGUGUCCAGAAUACCCUUGGCCGUGUUGAUCUGGUACCUGAGAAACACAGCCAACACCCAUUGUGUAUGUAUCUCUGUAUUACUGUGAAGGGAACUUGAUUAUUUCUUAUUAUUUUUGUUCUUUUGUUCUUAUUUUUGUUCUUUGUUUAUUACUUAUUUUUUGCCCUGAGAAAGAAACCUAUGUCAAAUCUAACUGGCUAUGUAUUUAACACCUAUAAGCAUCACCCUCAUAAUCAAUUUAAUUAUUGUGACGUGAACUUGAUAGUAGUUUCUCACAGACACCAAUCACAACCACUGUUCAUCAAAUAUGUCUUGUGGAGUUAGCCUUAAAAUUGAAUGACUUGGCAACUACGAGUGUCAUCUUCUAUGUUUCAAAGUCUCUUGUGUAGGGGAAUCUACUGAGCAUGAAAACCUACAAAUAUUUCUCCUCUUUUACAACAACCAUUCUCAUUGACCAUUUCCAUAGCUGGGCAUUAUCGCGAUACUUUAUCGCUGAUAACAAAAUCGGAUUAUCGACCAUCCGCUACUUAUUUAAAUAUAUAUCGGUAUCUUCGUUACUUUUGUAACCAAACUAGCGAUAAUCGCUACUUUUUUUCCGCCUCUCAGAAAAAAACAUUGUCUUCUCCCUACUGUGCAUGCGUGGCCCGGUGUUGUAUGAAAAAACUUUGGGGUAUGAAAUAUCUUCGGUGAUGAGAUUUCAUACUUAGAUCAUGAAAAUUAAAACACUAGAUUAUUUUUUUAUGCUACUCAAAAAUCAAUAUAUCAUAGAGAAAAAUCAUUUAACUUUGCCCCAAAAAUGAUUAUUCACUGCCUCAAAUUUGAUAUUCCAUAUUCGUUUGUGACCAUGCCAUGGUAUUGAAGGCACCCGGUGUUGCGUUAUUUGGUGUCCCGUCAUCAAAAGCUGGCGCUUUUGUUUACAAACACUGGUCUCUCGUGAACUGCGCAUGCUCAGACCAUUAAGUGUAGACCUAUACAGUCUCACAAUGCUUUUUUAACACAUCAAGAGUUGCUGGAAAGCUGAAUCAAACAUACAGUACCACCAUCCUCGCUGUUUCUAGAACGACGUACGCUCUGUAC